rnacentral:rRNA from 1 species
UACGGAAGGGGCAAGCGUUGUUCGGAAUCAUUGGGCGUAAAAGGCGCGUAGGUGGUUCUGUAUGUCUACCGUGAAAGCGUACGGCUCAACCGUAUUUUGUCGGUGGAAACUGCAGGACUUGAGGCUGGGAGGGGCUGGUGGAAUUCCCUGUGUAGCGGUGAAAUGCGUAGAGAUGGGGGAGAACACUCGUGGCGAAGGCGGCCAGCUAGACCAGUUCUGACACUGAGGCGCGACAGCGUGGGGAGCAAACAGG